rnacentral:rRNA from 1 species
GCUCAGGACGAACGCUGGCGGCGUGCUUAACACAUGCAAGUCGAACGGUGAUGUCCCAGCUUGCUGGGACGGAUCAGUGGCGAACGGGUGAGUAACACGUGAGCAACCUGCCCUCCACUUCGGGAUAAGCCUUGGAAACGGGGUCUAAUACCGGAUAUGAGCCUGCAUCGCAUGGUGUGGGUUGGAAAGUUUUUCGGUGGGGGAUGGGCUCGCGGCCUAUCAGCUUGUUGGUGGGGUGAUGGCCUACCAAGGCGUCGACGGGUAGCCGGCCUGAGAGGGCGACCGGCCACACUGGGACUGAGACACGGCCCAGACUCCUACGGGAGGCAGCAGUGGGGAAUAUUGCACAAUGGGCGAAAGCCUGAUGCAGCGACGCCGCGUGAGGGAUGACGGCCUUCGGGUUGUAAACCUCUUUCAGCAGGGAAGAAGCGCAAGUGACGGUACCUGCAGAAGAAGCGCCGGCUAACUACGUGCCAGCAGCCGCGGUAAUACGUAGGGCGCAAGCGUUGUCCGGAAUUAUUGGGCGUAAAGAGCUCGUAGGCGGUCUGUCGCGUCUGGUGUGAAAUCCCGAGGCUCAACCUCGGGCUUGCAUCGGGUACGGGCAGACUAGAGUGCGGUAGGGGAGACUGGAAUUCCUGGUGUAGCGGUGGAAUGCGCAGAUAUCAGGAGGAACACCGAUGGCGAAGGCAGGUCUCUGGGCCGCAACUGACGCUGAGGAGCGAAAGCAUGGGGAGCGAACAGGAUUAGAUACCCUGGUAGUCCAUGCCGUAAACGUUGGGCACUAGGUGUGGGGCUCAUUCCACGAGUUCCGUGCCGCAGCUAACGCAUUAA